GGCUGUGGCUCGGGGAGCACGUACCUUCCUUGAAAGUGUCCCCCCUACCCAACCCCAGCCGCUCCCGUUCCCUCCCACACACAUCCUCUGGUUGCAGCACAAAUGAACAUGUCAGGAAGUUCGGAGGCUGCCGCUCUGGCCUGGCCUGGGGGGGCUUAGAGCUCGGACCCCUCCUCACCUGCAUGGGCCUCCUCUCAUCCCCCCAGUGAGUCUCAUUUUCAGAAAGGUCUGUCCCCCACCACCCCAUGCGGCCCAGCCAUUUGAAGUCUCACCGGGCAGUAACCCUGUCCUGGGUUCCGCUUUCCUGACUGUGCCAGGCGGAGGGUAAUGAAGGGCCCAGCUCCACACACAUAGGAGCUGGGGGGAGCUCCUCCUGCCACGUCCAGAGGUGGCCAACUCGGGAAGCCUGUUCCUGUCCUUGACCGUGGGCGCCGGGAGGAGGGGUCAGAGCAGAGCCCCCAGCGGCCCCUGCUCGGGCGCAGGGCUGGUCGGUCAGCCUUGAGGUUUCUCGGUGACCCCCCCCCCACACACACACACCCAGAGUAGGGGACGCGUGCCAGGCGCCCAGGGGCUUUUGAGAAGGCUGGCGACCCUCCAGAGCGGAGUUGGGGGCAGCGGCCAGCAGCUGGUUUAGGGGAAGGAGUCGGCGGCCGCCCUACCAGUCGGACGGAAUAACAGACUGAGCAGGGCCUGUGCGAGCCGUGCCUCUUCUCUGUCCAUUUCCUCUGCCAGAAAACGCGGAAAUGGGUCAGGCUCUGGUUCCCCCUCCAACGGCAUCAAAGACCACUCGCCCACGCUGCCCGCUUCCUAGGACGGUGCCAGCGCACACAGAGCCUGCCGUCCACCUGCCCUCGCUGCUCCCUCCCUGGAAACCCACACGCCGCAGCCCCAGGGGAGCGAGCGGCCACUGGCUGGCUCUACAAGGAGUGAGAUUCGCCCAGAGAAACCCGGAUCCGAGCGUUGCCGGCAGAUGCCAGGAGUGAGGGUCACUGCUGUGGGCACGGCUGCCAGGCGGCGGUUGUGACUGUCCUGGUCAUGUUGCUUUACCACUGGCUUCGUCCCAUAAGGCCGUAGGACCCAUAGGCCCAGGCUGCGUUUCUAGGUCAGCUGCCCUCUCGGGAGGACGGGCAGAGGCCCGAGCGGCCGUGAUGCCCAGAGGAAGCAAGGAGUGGGGGGUGGUGGGCGGCCUGGCCCGCCUGCACAGCUGGAUGGCGGCCUGAGGUUCCCGUAGGACCCGGCUGCUAAGCGCCACCCUGGAACCAGGCUGCAAGCCCAAGUGGGCAGAGCCAGGAGGACUGGCUGCAGCUGCCCCUGCUGCCCGGCUGGACCUGAGCCCCUGCCUGCCCCUGGGAGGUGCCCACUGGGGCCCUCUACCCCCACCCCAAUUCCAGCCUCCUGAGGCCCGGGGAGGGGCCCUCGCCAUGCACUCCAUGGCCGUGACCUUCCGUAAAGUUUGCACGGUGACGUCGUAGCUGCAUUUGGUUAUGACCACCGGCGCGACCCCCCAUCACCCCUCCCCUCCUGGCACGGGCGCUGCGGUGGCUCUGGCUCGUCUGGGGCCUGUCCUGGGGCAGCAGGCGGGGGCUACGGAGCGUCUGGGUUUAGUGGGGUGUGUUGACGGGUUUGCUGUCUCUUCUAGUAGAACUGAGCACCGCUAGCCGUCCUGGGUGUAGAUAGGGGCGGCGCCCAGGGGGAGUCUGAGCGCCCCUGGGCCCGACGCACCCAGUGGUGACGUGGGGAUGCUGCCACCACUGCGGCACCGGCAGAGCAGGAACCAAGUGUUCGCCACUGUGCCGGUCUGGUGUCCGUGACUUUGCACUGCUUUUCCUGAGAAGGACUCCACAGAGUUGCGUGAGCUCCUGGCCUCACAAAACCUGGAUUUAUUCUCCAUCUAGCCACCAGCUCCCCGAUUCGAGGGAGGGACGAGGGGUCUGGCCUGGGAUGUGGGCGGCAAGGCUGGUCUUCAGCUCAUUCCCUGUGCACUGUCCCCUGGGGGACUGUGCUGGCCCUGCUCCCUGAGAGGACCUCCGGGUGUGACCACACAGGGGCCCUGGCUCCCGGCCAGGCUGGUGGGUGUGGGUCAAGGCCGCUCCUUGGAGUCCCAGGCUCUCUCCGCCCACCCGCGGGCGGCCUGCCUAGUGAGGACCUUGUGCCGGCCGGGCCGCGAGGCCUGGGGCAGCUCCAGGCCCCCUGCGCCCGGACCCGGCUUAUCGCGGCCCCGCUCCCCCCGGCCUUGCUGUUUUCAAGGAUGAUCUCAGUGCCGUGGGUGUAGCUGACUGCAGGCCUGUGUCUGGUCUUUACUGGAGUUUAUCACGAGCCCUGCAGGUGGAUCUCUCGUGCACCCAUACUGUCUGCUUUAUUCCCGUGCUGCUUUCUCCAGCUGGGACCAGGCCCCAGAGGACCCAGACCGCUUGCGUGCCUGCGGGAGUCCCCAUCCCGGCCUCCCUGACUCACGUGGGGCUGGUGGGGUCGUUUUACCCACAAGCCACGGGUGCCAGAGCCUUGCCAGCAAACAGAGGGGACAAGGGUGGGUUAUAGGAGGAAACUGAGUUUCUCAACAGGGUGAUCCUGACCCCGCAGGACAUGCUGGUCAAUGUCUGAAAACACUGAGGGGUUGCAGCUUGGGGGUGGGCGUGCCACUGGCAUCUAGUGGGUGGAGGCGGGACCCGUGAUGUCAGGUGCGGGAGUUAUUGUGAGCAAAAGGGGGCAGGGUGGGAGACCAGAAAGCCCUGGAGGCCCCCGUUUCCCCCCCACAAGGCCGGGAGCCCCUCUGGGCACAGCUGGCUUCCCACCGCGGGGCAGCCCUUCCUUUCCUCGGUGGGGAUGACGGGGUGACAGUGGAGCACGGGCAACAGGGCAGAGGCACCGUGGAGGGAUGCCCUCUCACCCUGGUGCCUGCACUCAGCGUCUGUGGAGGAGUGGGUGGUGGACAGACCAGGCCCGGGGCCCCCUGUGGGUGCUCUGAGCGCUGGGACACGGCUGUCCUUUGGGGCCUUGCUCAGACCCAUGGUCCUGGGGGCCCUCCUUGCUGACCACCCCCCUACCCCACCCCCACAGACCGGAGGCCCUGCAGUCCCUCCAGCCUGGGCCCUCGUCCGGUGUGAGCCCUCGGGCAGCAGAGCAGGAGGUGGACAUCGGGAGGGCUCCGUUCGGGUCAGGAGAGGCCGGUGGAGGGACGAGCAGAGCUGGGCCUGUGGACGGGUCAGCCCCACACCUGGGGAGGGUGGAUGCGCUCCAUGCACAGGCGGAGGGGGCGGUUCGAUCCAUCCCUUUACUGGCCAUGCAAACGACAUCAGCCUCCCCUGCAGAGUUACCCCUUCCCUCUUUAUUAUAAGUAACUAUUUUGUAGGAAAGCACUUUAAAACUACACAAACAUCCCAUGCUUCCUCAGACUUCCACUUACUUGUCUAUUCAUCUGAGUAUAAGCGCGUGAAUUACAAUUCUUUUCAACAGGCAGUAGUCUGUUCCUGUCGGGGCACCCUGUCAGGCUGGCUCCAAGCACGCUGGGGGCCCCCGGGGGCCCUGGACGGCUUCCUGGCCGUCUGGUGUUUCAAGAUGUUCCAGGAGCAUCUGGUGUUUUCCUGCCCAGGUUGGAAUCGGCCAUCUCUCCAAGGAGUCCCAGCCACUGUCAGUGGAAGCUGGUGUUUAGAAACCAUGAUCUGGGUGCUGGGGUGCCCUGGGUCCUUGCUGCUGGGGUGUCACAGCUGCCAGCCCUCUCAAUGGACAGAACUAGGACUUGUACAGAUGCAGGUCCACACUCACAGUCACCCUCGCACAAAUGCGCUCACUCACCCAUUUAUAUCCGUGUUUAUCUCAUGAUCAGUUUCCCCAUUGCCGGCUCACUUCCCCUGCCAGGCGGGCCGUGUGUUCAGGUUACUGAUGCACAGAGUUCCUCACUCGGUCCAUGGCAGGGUCCUGUGGGCCUUAGGAAGCUGUCCCUCGAGGCUGUGAUUUGAUGGACGGAGCAGCCUGGGCUCAGCGGGAAGCCUGGACCCGGGUGGAACUCAGAACAGAGUCCGUCCUCGAGGCCCUCCUAGCAGAUUUCUGCAGCAGCUCCUGACCUUGGCAGAGGGUCGAGCAGGCCUCUGUGUCCAGUGGUGGGGAGUGAUUCUGUGAACUAUGGCUUGGGCGUCUGUCACGGAAUUCUUGGCUCCGGACCGAGGGCCAGGGGGCAGAGGGCGAGGCAGGUAUUCUCAGGCUGCAGCUGGCGAGGGGAGGAGGGAGUGUUUUGGCAAAACAGCUUGCACUAGGCCAGGGCAGGCCAGUGCUCAGAGCGGUAACCCCGUGACCUGCGUCCGGGCUGGCUGGGACUUGCUGUUUCCUGGGGUCACGACGGAGCCCCCACCUCUCCACUCCGGAGGACACCCUGUGACCCGGCUCGGGGGCCCACGGGGCCUUCUGCUCGUUGGCCUUGUCAAGGAUCGCGGCAAGGGGCCGGGAGAAGUGAGUGUGAAUCCACACGUACCGUCAGCCCGUGCUCGCGUCCCUUUUCCCUGGGCCGCCAGAGCCGCACCCUGACUCCCACCGAAUGUCGUCGAUCGGUAGGAAAGUCACGCGGCCAGUGCCCGUCUCCUCUGUGCAGGUGCCUGGCCAGCCCGCCGGGCCGCGCCACCGUCCCCCGCCGGUGCUCCGGCCUGUGGGGCCCACCCGCCCCUUCUCCCGGGUUUGGCUGCAGGACGGCCUGGCUGGAGCCGGAAGCACAAAGGAAAGGAGGGUCGGAUCGGGGGGCGACAUUACACCCCAAGCUCCCCACCCUGCGGGGCUGGACGGGUCCCAGGGUGAGCUGCAGGGGCUGGGAAACCUCUGCAGGAGGGGAGGGCGGAAUUAUGCCCCCGGCCGCAGGGACCCUCUCCCCACAGAGCCAGAGAACGUGGGUAGGGAUGUCGGCCCGUGAACUCGGCGCUGGAUUCAGGAAGCAGGUUCUCACUGUGGUGCUGAGGCCCUUCGGGACAGGCCGCCAGGCUUCACGCCAGCAUCACGGGAGCGAAGCGGAUUCUCUGGUGAUAUCCACUCACGGGCGGUUCGGCCCUGACGCCUCCAGACCUGUCUUCCCACCGAGGUCCUUUUCAGCCCGAACUUCAUGGUUCCUAGUACCUCUGGGGCAAGGAGUUCCCUGCUGAACUAGCCACAUCGACCGGCAUUUCUCUUCAGUGCCCGAAAAUACCCUCUCAAGUGUCAAAAGGCCUCACGAGUCUGUCUUGGUGACGGCAGACCCAAACCACUGAAUCACGGGCUUCCUACUGGUGAAACGUACAGCAUAUGACUUGCAGCACAGUAAAGCUGUUAAUGACAACGGCAUCACCCUUCGGCCCUUCAUUAUUCUUUCUGUUACUCCUUCGAACUCCUAACAGGUAGGUGUAGAAGGGGGUCAGGCACCACCACCGUCCCCAUUUUGCUGCUGAGGGAGCUACGUGAUGGUCACAGCCCCAGAUGGGAAGUGGGAGGUCUAAGACUUCGGCCCGGAGAUGGUGAGUUUGGCUCCUUCUGUAAGCUCACCGUCAGCCCGCCUUCCACGGUCUAACGCUGAUCCCCCUCCUAUCUAAUUUGGUCAUUUUCAGGUGAUUAAUCUGACUCCCUGGACCCUCCCAUUGCUUUUCUCUGAACCCUCUUUCUAACACAGCGCUGUGGCGGUCAGCCUCCACGAUGACCCCACUCAUCCCGGCCUCUUGGUCAGCGUCACCUUCCUGCAUCAAAUCAGGGCUGGUCCAUGUGGCCAAUGGCGUAGGGCGGAGCUGAUGGGGUUGACUUCUGAGGCUAUAAAAGGCACUGCAGGCUCCGCCUUGGCCUCUUGGAUGGCGGCAGCCGCCGUGUCGUGACACUCAGGCAGCCCCACGGAGAGGGCCACUUGCAGAAACACAGGUCUCUGGCUAAGAGCACCAACGUGCCCGCCGCGUGACAGAGCCACCUUGGAAGUGCCCCUCCCGCCCUAGGCCAGCCUUCAGACGAUGCCACAGCCCCGGCUGACACAGGACCACACCUGCACGUCACGGCCCAAGUGGAGACUGCUCAGCCAGGCCCUCCCCAGAGGCCUGGCCGACCGACGGUGUGAGAGAAGCCACUGAGUUUGGGGGGUGUGACUGGAACCAGCACCCAGACCUGCACAGAACCUAGACGUGGGGCUACACCCGAGACAGACAAAACCUUCUCAUUUUCCUGCCCAGGUCCCUUCUUAGUCAUCCUGGGGUAACUGGACUCCCGUCAGCAUCAGUGACCUGCUCGGAGGGUCCACUCCAACCCGCAGGGCCACAAGCAGGGCACACCCUCACGUGACAACCAGACUAGCAGUUUCACCACUCGGGAGGCCAGGUUUGGGUCUCAGCUCCUCCCCAAAGCUGGGCAAGCUGGUAGCAGGGCGCGAGGCUGUGUCUGCCCCACGAAGGAAAAGCCUUCCUCUGAAGUGCCUCAAUCAGAGUUCUUGUGGGUAGACCAGAGGCACUCAGCCUCGGCCAUGCACUGGGAGCAGCGGCGGGAGCUCGAAGCCCCCUGUGCCGGCCCCAGCCCGACACCGGCUCAGCGUCUGGGACACAUCGGGUGCCAGGAAGCUCAGACCUACCCGGGCGUUCUGAAUGCAGCCGCGGCCGAAACAGCUGGUUCACGUCAGCCACGUUGAUGCUUAAAAGUGUUUUCAGGCCUUGUUUACAACAUAGAGCAAGCACUUGUUUAAAAAGGAGACUCCAACACAUCAGGCAGGCCACAUCUCAGGAAAUGGUUUUUCUGGACACAGUGGUCUAACCUGAGAUGGUUUACGUUUAAUCGCAUUUUGCCACAGGAAAAAGUGCCCCAGGAAACACUGCGCGGAGGGCAGGAUGCCCAGCUGGGCUCUUUAAACAGCAGUGGCCACAGACAGCGCAGUUCACUGAUUCUGUAAACGACCACAGAGGCUCUACCUGCCCGGAGCACAGCUGCCUGACGGUACGAAACUCAUUAGGAAGCAGGCACUACGGGGACGUCCACGUUUUACUAACUCAUGAGGUCCCUUCAGACAGCUGACACUCAGUGACCGGUUCAGUCUCGUACUGGGCAGGGUUCUACCAGGGACAGAAGUCGUAGGACAUUUUUAUGCAGAAAGAUCUCUUACAGGGCUGGGCGCAGACAGCUGUGGGGCUGGCACCUGGGAACAGCCAGGAGCUAACGCUGCAGCUCAGAUGCGGGAUUUCUUCUUCCUCGAGGAAACCUCCAAUUUCUCCAAAAGGCUUUCAGCCGAGCGGCCGAGGCCCCCGCACAUCACGGAGGGGGAUCUCCUUCACCUAAAGCCAGCUGGUGGCAGAGGUGACACACAUCCCCCAGGUGCCUUCACCCCAGCCCCCAGUACGCGGGCCUCUCACUGUUGCGGCGCACAGGCUCCGGACGCGCAGGCUCAGCGGCCAUGGCUCACGGGCCCAGCCGCUCCGCAGCAUGUAGGAUCUUCCCGGACCGGGGCACGAACCCGCGUCCCCUGCAUCGGCAGGCGGACUCUCAACCACUGCGCCACCAGGGAAGCCCCAGAGUUGGCUUUUUGUUUUGCAAAUGUCUGUUUCCUGAUUAUAGACGCAGUCCUGCUCAUCGUACAAAACUCCAAGAUUAAAGUUUGGGGGUAUUUCAGUUA